ensembl:lncRNA
UUUCAUUGUAGUUUGACCCUAAACAACAGAAGUCAAAAGUGGAAAGUGAGAAAACAAGUUCUGAUCCACAAAACCUGUACAAGUAUGUUAUAUCAGGAUCCUUCCUUUAUAACUGUAUCUAUCUUAUCUUUUUAUUGCUAUCUAUAUAUCUUAACGUUCUGAAGACAGGGGAGAUGAUAGUGGAUUUUAGGAAGAACGCAGUCUCACCUUCCCCAAUCAUCCUCUGACUUCCUGUCAUCGCUGGGGAGUCCUUCUGUUUCCUACCUGAAGUGGGAGCUGAACAUCAGCUCAAUCACUAAGAAGGCUCAGCAGAGGCUGUUCUUCCUGAGGAAACUGAAGAAAUUCAACCCACCAAAGACAAUGAUGGUGCACUUCCCGCCGCUAUUAUUCUGACCCUGAAGCGAUCUAAAAGGAUUGUAGCCGACCCCUCUCACCACAGACAAAAACAGUUUGUGCCCCUUCCAUCUGGCAGGAGGCUGAGGUCCAUCAGGACCAAAACCUCACGCCACACAAAUAGUUUCUUCCCAACAGCAGUCGGGCUCAUUAACACAACUUUGGGUCCCCCACUGAGUGACACUGUCAUCCAGACUUCCUACCGCUCAUUCCCCUGCACAUCCUCUCAUAAUUCUUAUUUAAAUACACUAUAUUAUUCUCUAUUCUUUUGUAAAUGUACAUUUAUUUGUAAAUGGGUAAGGUAGCAGCUCCGCGGUUGAGAACGCAGCUGGCGGCUACGAGACGUUAGUUGCGCGGUGUAAUGUAAUGUAUAAUGUAAUGUUUACACUGAGAGGUGGCAUGAGUCAACGGUAGACUCCUUCAGGACUGAGUAGCGAUUUCAGCGCGAACUACGGGAGUAAUAGUAAACAACCAGUACCGGAGAGGAGUACGGAAGCGCGAAGCAGAGAAGCGCAUCAGAGGGGGACGUUGACUCUCGUUUUAAUGAUACUUCAGGUAGUUUGAACUUCUAAUUUCCGGGCUAGAAGGCUCAACUGCGGGUGCAUGGGUGAGGAUAAAGUGCUGCUCAGGUGCCGUAUUGCUUUUAUAAUACGGUGCCAGCGAAUUUAUACAUAGUAAAUAAUGGCGGCAGCACGAUCAUAUUUCGGUAGCCUUUAGGAAUGGUCCCGGUACGUGCAGGUAACCAAGGCACGGUCGCGCCUGCGACAUCUGGUUUACUACGAGCCCGUUCGAGCACGUGAAACAGCACCGCAGCCACGGGGCUGCACGCGACAACCUCUGUAUGACAAGUCAACCCUCCACAUCCACGCAGAGCGAAGGAGCGCGGCAUCGGCAGUGCCGGGUCUACCACGGGGUAGGCCUUCCACACAAGCAGCUAACACUUCAACACGAUGCAAAACGGAGCUGUUCACGGGUGUUGUUCGUUUUGGCGAUCGUCCACAGAAUCCGAAGCAAUAACAGCAGGCGCCUGUUGCACGUGCGUGCACCAGAGGUGGUAGCAUGGUGACGUGUCAUGAGAAAUAAAUAAUAAAUAGAGAAGAGAAGAUUAGCCCUCGGCUGCGUCGUUUGGCAAGUGACAGGUUGACAAACACAAUUGCAGUCGCCAACUGUGCGACUUCUUCCAAAGGCUAAGUUACUGAGGAAGGUGGGCAACUUUAAGUUGGUCAGAGCAGCAGCGCAAUGGGGUUUCUUUAUUGUCGCCAUACGCAUCACAUGCUGCUAGCUGGACAUGCCGGCUUAUUUGUCCCAACCUCCUCAACUAAGCUGGGGACAGGAGCCGUACUGAGAGAGCGUUGGAUGGCAGUGGGUUCAAUGGGAUAGUGUCACGGCUCCAACAGCGGCUUUCGGGGGAAGCAAUGUUAAGACAGAUGCAGGCCAUCUGUGUGUUUUGGGGGGUUCUAUUAAGCCACGGCAGGCCAGACCAUGGCUCCCCUUUUUUAGUUGAUUCCUUUUGGUGUGACAGUCCAGCGGGGUUGUUAAUAUGCGUGGUAACUUAUAUGCGUCAACUACGGGUAAAAGGCUUUGCCUUACUGGCUGUACCACUUAAGGAAGUUAGCCCCAACAGUACUCAGGGAAUUAUUUAGGGGCAGCUACUGAAACUACAAACCAAAGGUAUUUCCUAUUCAUCCCUGCCACCAAUGGGAAGUUGGGCUGCUGCAACCCCCACAUCCACCAACUUCAAGGAUGAUGAGUUUGAUUCAGGAAAGCCUUAAGUUCGGUAAGUCAUGCAUUUAUUGAUGUCAUCAUUCACAUAGCUUCUUGUAUAUCGGCAUUUCGUUUGCCCGGUGGCCCGUGGUACCAGAUAUCAUUCAUGCAGGUUUGUUUCAGCCCUAAGUAGUCCGCACCGUUUAUUCAAGGGGAUCUUCGCUCGUGGCCCUAAACAUCCUUGCAUGGCAGUGAUACUCUGUAAUAAUAAAUAAUCUGGUCUCACCUGACCCGUUUGCAGUUCUGAAGGAGGUCCGUCAGUUGACCUGCCAACCUGGGAUCAAGUUAGGUUUGUGCUCUUACGUGACCAGUCCAGCUGACUUCAUGGAGAGUUGCGGGCUAACCGGACCAGUCAAGCUAACACAGCGUUUUCUAGCCUAACGCUACCUGUUAGCGGACUCCAGUCACGCCUCAUGGAUAGGGGGAAGCACGAGUCGGCAUCUUUCUUAAAACUGGGGUUAUGAACAGAGUGGUGAUAUACUUUGCUACGGCAGCCGCUAUCAUGGCUGCUGUUCUGCAUGUUAACUGCUUGAAUCUAUACCACAACAUCUUAGGAUCCACCUCCCCAUUAUUCUCAACCUAGAAUAAUUGCUAGAGCUGCAGCAGCUAACCAAGGCAUUCCUGUGACAAGCCGGCAGCUGAUAGGGUGGUGGUCGCCGUCUGCUGUGACGUUCCACUUCCGCCCUGACCAUAGCAAGCAAGCAAAGCAAAGCACUCGCAAGCAAAAUCUGUGAAGCCAUAAGAGCUGGUAAGCAUGAAUAUAACUGGUGCUGGUGGUGGUGUUUUCCCUUGUGGCAAUGUUGGAAGGUCACUUCAGUAUCCCCUGGCAGGGGACCACCAUUGUUCCUUACAGUCUCCCUUAAUCUAAUCUUCUAGGUGAACGUGACCUGUCUUAAUGCUAAGGCUAAUGCUUAACGUGUCUGUUUCCUGGUCUAACGGGACCACAUCCAUUCCCCAAAAGAUGUCCAGAUGGACCAGUCAAGCUGACAACACUCUGUUUCGCGGUCUCACAGGACCAGUCAAGCUGACUACCUUUCUGCUUCGCGGUCUCACGGGGCCAGUCAAGCUGACUACCUUUCCAUUUCGCGGUCCCGCGACCGGUCACUCUAGUUAGUGCAAGUGCCGGCCUGAGCUGACCCGUCAAGUGACGGUGGUCCGUUCAGCACGGCUAAACCCGACCAGUCAGGGACACCCAAGUGACCAUCUGUUUCCCGGUCUGAGCGAACCCGGUCAGGUUGUUCUGUGAGGGACCCUCCGCAACUAAGUCUAUUCUGCGGUCCCUCUCUGACCCUAACUGUCCUGUUCUGCGGUCCGCCGUGACCACCCCUAUCUGGUCUGCGGACUUACACGACCACAACCUGUCCUUGUCUGCGGUCAAGCUCGACCCCCAACCUAUCCUGUCCUUUGGUCUAGCAGACCCUCUCUUUUACUUCGGGAUCUUCUGAAGCCCACCGUGCCUUACUGUGGUCCAGCUAGACCCUCGCUAUGUGCUGCGGCUUCCCUGGCCCCCGUGUCCUUGUCUGUGGUUCAACUAGCCCUUCCUCUCUCAUUGUCCUGUUAACCUUUUGCCUUGGUUUCUCGGCUCUAUGUGACUUACGAUAUGUCCCCUUGUUACACCAGCUCCGGAUCAGGACCCGCAGUGGCCGUAAGUAUUUAUUUUAUUCCAUCAAAUAAACCUGGUUUGGGGGAUAUGCCUCGUCUCGGCUCGAGAUCCUGGCCCCGGGUCUAUCCUGCGGCAGGAUGGAGUCCAAGCCC